AUGCACGCUGGCGGCGUGCCUAAUACCUGCCAGUCGCGCGAACAGACGAGAGUGCUUGCACUCUCUGACGUUAGCGGCGGACGGGUGAGUAACACGUGGGUAACCUACCUAUAAGACUGGGAUAACUUCGGGAAACCGGAGCUAAUACCGGAUAAUAUUUAGCUUCGCAUGAAGCAAUAGUGAAAGACGGUUCUGCUGUCACUUAUAGAUGGACCCGCGGUGUAUUAGCUAGUUGGUGAGGUAACGGCUCACCAAGGCAACGAUACAUAGCCGACCUGAGAGGGUGAUCGGCCACACUGGGACUGAGACACGGCCCAGACUCCUACGGGAGGCAGCAGUAGGGAAUCUUCCGCAAAGGACGAAAGUCUGACGGAGCAAUGCCGCGUGAGUGAAGAAGGUUUUCGGAUCGUAAAACUCUGUUGUAAGGGAAGAACAAGUACGUUAGUAACUGAACGUACCUUGACGGUACCUUACCAGAAAGCCACGGCUAACUACGUG
rnacentral:rRNA from 1 species